rnacentral:sRNA from 1 species
UGACUGCUACGGUAUAGUUGGUAUUGUC